GUUUCGUUAUAUAUCUAUAGAUUAUUCGGUCACCUGAAGUAACUAAUGUGUGUUUAAGGAGUAAACAAGUUGUUAUAUUGCUUAAACAAUGUAAACAGUUUCAUAACAUACCUGGGUAAUUGAUUUAUGAAAAGCAUGACAACAACUGAUGUGGAUCUUUUCUGGGCUUCCUUUCUUGGACGUACAGAACAAGUUGAAAGAUUGCUUGAAGCAGGGGCCAAUGUAAAUUAUCAAUGUAGUAUGAAAGUAAGUUUAUGCUUUACAUCAAAUAUUCAUGAUAUAUUAUUGCAAAAAUGUUUAAAUUUUACAUACGUUGUACGUGGUUGAUAAAUUAAAAGAAAAAUCAGCAACUUUCAGUAUAGGACGAUUGGCUUUUGGAUGGAAUUACAUAUCGACAUAACAAUAUGCAAGGUUGGUUUUCUUUUCCUAGACAAUAAAGUCCUAUCUGUUGCCAAAUUUGUGCAGAAAGACUAAACACAUGCCAGAUGCGACGACUUUUCGAUGCCUAAAACAUUCAUAAAUAUCGGAUUUGCGAAUAAUUUUGGUCAAUGUAAAAUUAAUGGUGCAAGUUUCUAAAAAAAUGCGUUACUCAAAAAUGAAAACAGAAUGAGUCAUAAACGAACAAAUAUUCACAUAAUAUACAAUGAUAAUGUUAAUAAUCUCGUAUGGUUUGGCACCUAGGAUUAGAAUGAAGAAAACUGGGGAGAGGCCAGUUUGGCACCAUCAUUAAUAAAAAAAAGUAUAUAUUUUUCUUAACUUGAAUAUAGGCCGUGUCAGUGUCGUUUUUCCUUUUUUUUGCGUCAACCCUAUUUAUGAAAACCUACCAGCCAGUCCCCAAAAAUAAUUAAAAAAAAAACAACAAAAAACACACACAAAGAAAAAAAAAAACAGGGGCUCUUUUCACAAAAAAUCUUAAGACUAAAAUCAGUCGUAAGUUAUACUGAAAUAUUCAUGACUUACGAGUAUUUUUUCUCGUAAGAUUUUUUGUGAAAUGAGUCGCAGGGUCUUGCAUCUUAAUAUAGAAAAAAAAAAAUAUUGGCGGAUCAAACAAGAAUGGACAAACAAGAAACUUAGAAAACACGACGAAAAAUGCUAGGAGUGAUAUUAAAACAAACAUACAAAGAGAACCCAACAUAUCUAACUAUAAAUGAAGAUGACUGACCAUACUUUUCAAUCAAUUUGGGUACACUCAAUUGUUCCGGAUGAGAAAGCAACUUCUGCUCCUUUAUAUAUUUAAUAAACAUGUCCCAUGCACAUUUAUAUGAAACCUUCACAUAUUCUAUGCACUCACCACAUGUAUAUGCUUAUUAUAAAGAAAAACAUAUGAAAUGUAACAGUUUUAUUCUAAAAAUCAAAAGAAAAAUUGAAUGAAUUUAAAAAUUUACAAAAAACAAUUUAAAAAAACAAAAAAUGUCUGAAAAUAUCAGAACCGUAUCGAACAAAAUUUAACUUUUCAAAAAAAAAAAAA